CUUUUACACAAAAACCCUGUUUUCAUAUCCAAACUACAAGGAAGAAACUGAGCGCGAGAUCGUAUAAAAGUGUCAGGUUGUGAGGAUACAUAUGGAUUUCUGUUGUUUCUAAUUUAAAGUUCCCCAAGGGUGACUGGGGAAACGAAACAUGAUCACUUGGUCUUCUCCCGACCGGCAGUAAAACGAAGUGGGCGUCCGUUUGGCUAUGCGGGAUGUAUCAAGUUCGCAGUCACGUCCGGUCAGAAUGGGGACGUUAAGUCCGAUGCCUCGUGUAAAGGGAGUGUCACGUUGUUUGCACGUGAAAAACCCUUGCAUCAACUCUUUGAGGAGUCCGUAGGUGGCAUGUUGCAAUGGAAAAUUUCUGUCCCAAUCCAAUAUACCAUCAUUUUCCAGUGGCAGUCUAAAUUUUCCC
rnacentral:lncRNA from 1 species